AUUGAACGCUGGCGGCAGGCCUAACACAUGCAAGUCGAGCGGGAACUUCGGUUCUAGCGGCGGACGGGUGAGUAAUGCGUAGGAAGCUACCCGACAGAGGGGGAUACCAGUUGGAAACGACUGUUAAUACCGCAUAAUGUCUACGGACCAAAGUGUGGGACCUUCGGGCCACAUGCUGUCGGAUGCGCCUACGUGGGAUUAGCUAGUUGGUGAGGUAAUGGCUCACCAAGGCGACGAUCCCUAGCUGGUUUGGGAGGAUGAUCAGCCACACUGGAACUGAGACACGGUCCAGACUCCUACGGGAGGCAGCAGUGGGGAAUAUUGGACAAUGGGCGCAAGCCUGAUCCAGCCAUGCCGCGUGUGUGAAGAAGGCCUUCGGGUUGUAAAGCACUUUCAGUAGGGAGGAAGGGUGUUGUGUUAAUAGCACAGCAUUUUGACGUUACCUACAGAAGAAGCACCGGCUAACUCUGUGCCAGCAGCCGCCGUAACAC
rnacentral:rRNA from 1 species